ensembl:lncRNA
UAAGAAGCCAGACAUUAGCCUUUUGUGAAUGCUUACCGGUAAAACAGUAUAAAGUUCAAAGUAAAUGCAUUAAACGAACAAUAAGUGAGCCUGUCUCCUCCAGACAAAGCUACUUCUAUUUUGAAAGGCAACAUAAUCACCUGAGAUCACAACAGUGGUCUUGGAAAGGAACUCAGACCUGGAGUCAUCAGCCCACAAAGUGAAGAUCCAGUUCAAGACUGUAUCUAAAGAAUCUGAAGGUGCACAAGUACAUGGGACCCAUCCACAGGUACAUGAGAUCCAUCCACAGGUUCUAAGGGAACUGGUGCAUGAAGUUAUCAAGCUGCUAUCUAUUGUUCUCACUGAUUAGAAAACAGGGAAAAUGACCCUCACUUUCAAGAAGGAAAAAGAAGAAGAUCCAGGGAACUGCAGGCUAGUCUCACUUCUGUGCCUGGUGAGAUCAUGGAGCAGAUCCUCCUGAAGGCCCUACUAAGGCACAUAGAAAAUAAAGACAAGGUGAUUGGUGGUAACCAACGUGGCUUCACCAAGGGUAAGACAUGCCUGACAGACUGGGUGGUCUUUUAUGAUGGAGUUAUAACGUCAAUGGAUAAAGGAAGAGCAAAUCACAUCAUCUACCUGGACUGGUGCAAAGUACUUGAUAUCCCGGUUGCCAAAUUGGAGAAAAACUGGAUUUGAUGGAUGGACCACUUGCUGGAUAAGGAACUGGCUGUAUGGUUGCACUAAGAGAGAGAGUUGCAGUCAACAGCUCAAUGUCCAAGUGAAGACCAGUGACAAGUGUUGUUCCUCAGGGAUCAGUGCUGGAACUGGUAUUAUUUAGCAUCUCGGUAGGUGAGAUGCGCAGUGGAAUUGAGUGUACAUUCAGCAGGUUUGCAGAUGACACCAAAUUUCCAUGGAAGUAAAGAGAAGGCAUUAAUUUUCAAUAAACUACUUGUCUUGAAAGCUGGAAAUACUUUCAAGCCAGCCCACAGUAGGCAGGAUGGUACAAGAAGAAACUUCAUUAAAUUUUUGAGCUGAUCAUGACUCCCAUCUAGAUUCCAAUCACAUGCAAGGCCAGCCUUCAUGCUGCAGACUCUGCCUUCUUUCCAAAGAUGGUCCAGAAGGAAACAUGUCAACUAGAGACUAUUGACAAUCUUCUUGGAGUGCUUAACCAGAACAGAAACAGAAAAUUCAGUUUGUAGAGGUAGCAGAUUUUUCCAAAGAAACUUUGUUUUAUUUUUCAAAUAGAUAUUGAAGAACACCAAAGUCAAGUAGGAAAACAAGGAAUGGAAUGGUACAGUCAUAUUAUGAACUGAGCCACAUCCCUGACUCUUAAUCUGGCUGCAAAAAUACUAAGCCUGCUGACUUCAUCAAAGUUGCAUAUAGUUUUAACACUAGAUACAAGUUUCAACUUCCAAACACAAACAAACAACCUCAGUUCUUUCUUCACAACUACAGAAAACGGCUGUUAACAGACUCCUGGGCUCUGUUAUCACAUGUAAAGGAAAGAAAAAAAACGGAAAAAGUCUGUCACUUUGUUGAAAUUUCUAGCACAUAAACAUCAUCAUGCAUUUACAGUAAGGAUCCUUGGAAAGAAACUUCACUCUUCAAGUCUCUCAUUUGGAAAAUCAGAAGAGCUAGGCAUCAGUAGGACCUGUUAGUUAAGGACUUGCUGGGUUCUGUCUGCUUCCACCAUGGCCAUCAACUGCCAG